rnacentral:rRNA from 1 species
UACGUAGGGUGCCGAGCGUUGUCCGGAAUUAUUGGGCGUAAAGAGCUCGUAGGCGGUUUGUCACGUCUGCUGUGAAAUCCCGAGGCUCAACCUCGGGCCUGCAGUGGGUACGGGCAGACUGGAGUGCGGUAGGGGAGAAUGGAAUUCCUGGUGUAGCGGUGGAAUGCGCAGAUAUCAGGAGGAACACCGAUGGCGAAGGCAGUUCUCUGGGCCGUAACUGACGCUGAGGAGCGAAAGCGUGGGGAGCGAACAGG